rnacentral:lncRNA from 1 species
GUGACCAGGUCUCACGUGGUGACCUCCAGGAUCCCUGGAAGAAGAAAGUCCUGACCAUCAAGGCUUGUGGGACAAGACACUAUUCAAAGGAAUGGGAGAAGCACUGAUCCAGAGGUUCCAACACUGUGAUCUGCAACGAACUGGGCUUCAGUGAUCAACAGUCUCCUCAAGACUUAAUCUGUCGGGAAUUUUAUGUGCCCAUGGUCGGCUUCAUCUGUCUUCCAGACAGAGUGAUAAAAAGUGGAAUCACAGCUAAUGGAGUCCCAUGCAGGUUGCUCUGCUCACGGGAGGACAUUAGGAGGAGAGUGGAUCACUUAAUCUUUCAUCAAGGCCACAUUGGUGCUAUUUCAUCCAUUUUGGUGGGCAUUGAGAUAACAUGGCUGUAGCUGUAUGGGCCUCCUCUGUACCCUGGAGCAGGUAUGGACUUCAACAUUGAAAUUAGUAGAGCUCACAAAUACACACUUUAACGAGAGGUUCUCUAGUCACACACACUGGAGUAAGAAGUACUGUCCUAGAAUUCCCAGGUGGGUCUCUAUCUUUCCUCAAUGAAACACCUGAUCCUGUUUGAUCAAGGUUGCUCAUUGUCUGGUAUCUCACAUUGGGUGAUCUUUCCGUGUUUUCUGCCUUCCAGAACUUGUGACCUAUAAAUGGUUGAUAAAUGAGGAAAAUGACUUGAAUCAGGGAAACUAAUAAGACUAGGUAUCCUGCUGUCAUUCAAUCUUUGACAUACAAAAGACCUACCCAGAAGACUCUGCAGGGGCAAUAGCAUCACUCUGAAGAUCAUGGUGCCCUAUCAAGAAGUGAGUUGCCAAUUUAAGCCAAACAAGUGUCCAUUGAGAAUCACCACAGUCUCAGGCUUCCCACUGUGGUGAUCUGAGAAGACAGGCACUGUGUGUAGCAGAACUUAAUGUUCAGAGGGACAGAAGGGAGACAAAGCAGCCGCAUGUGCAUUGCACUUCAUUCUUCUUUCUGGUGGUCUUGCAAAGAGCCUCUCCUCUCCUGGUAGCUGCUAUAAUUAGUAUCCUAUUAUCUUGUCACUGUUCAAAUUUGAUUUGCUAAAUCAUUCUGAACUUCCCUGGCAGGCUGCUGGUGCAAGGUCAGAAAAUAACAUUUCAUACUUAUUUUAGGCCAGCUUCCCUAGAAGCAGGGUCUGAGAUGGGGAUUUAAAUGCAUGUGAUUAGUUGGAAGAGUGCUCUCAGGAGAAGGGCGGAAAGUA